UACGUAGGGGGCUAGCGUUGUCCGGAAUCAUUGGGCGUAAAGAGCGUGUAGGCGGCUCGAUAAGUCCGCUGUGAAAGUCCAGGGCUCAACCCUGGGAUGCCGGUGGAUACUGUCGGGCUCGAGUCCGGAAGAGGCGAGUGGAAUUCCUGGUGUAGCGGUGAAAUGCGCAGAUAUCAGGAGGAACACCAAUGGCGAAGGCAGCUCGCUGGGACGUGACUGACGCUGAGACGCGAAAGCAUGGGGAGCGAACAGG
rnacentral:rRNA from 1 species